rnacentral:rRNA from 1 species
ACUCCUACGGGAGGCAGCAGUGGGGAAUAUUGGACAAUGGGCGCAAGCCUGAUCCAGCCAUGCCGCGUGAGUGAUGAAGGCCCUAGGGUUGUAAAGCUCUUUCACCGGUGAAGAUAAUGACGGUAACCGGAGAAGAAGCCCCGGCUAACUUCGUGCCAACAGCCGCGGUAAUACGAAGGGGGCUAGCGUUGUUCGGAUUUACUGGGCGUAAAGCGCACGUAGGCGGACUAUUAAGUCAGGGGUGAAAUCCCGGGGCUCAACCCCGGAACUGCCUUUGAUACUGGUAGUCUUGAGUUCGAGAGAGGUGAGUGGAAUUCCGAGUGUAGAGGUGAAAUUCGUAGAUAUUCGGAGGAACACCAGUGGCGAAGGCGGCUCACUGGCUCGAUACUGACGCUGAGGUGCGAAAGCGUGGGGAGCAAACAGGAUUAGAUACCCGUGUAGUCCCAUG